rnacentral:rRNA from 1 species
GAAUAUGGGGGGACCAUCCUCCAAGGCUAAAUACUCCUGACUGACCGAUAGUGAACCAGUACCGUGAGGGAAAGGCGAAAAGAACCCCGGCGAGGGGAGUGAAAAAGAACCUGAAACCGUGUACGUACAAGCAGUGGGAGCACAGAGCAAUCUGUGUGACUGCGUACCUUUUGUAUAAUGGGUCAGCGACUUAUAUUCUGUAGCAAGGUUAACCGAAUAGGGGAGCCGAAGGGAAACCGAGUCUUAACUGGGCGUUAAGUUGCAGGGUAUAGACCCGAAACCCGGUGAUCUAGCCAUGGGCAGGUUGAAGGUUGGGUAACACUAACUGGAGGACCGAACCGACUAAUGUUGAAAAAUUAGCGGAUGACUUGUGGCUGGGGGUGAAAGGCCAAUCAAACCGGGAGAUAGCUGGUUCUCCCCGAAAGCUAUUUAGGUAGCGCCUCGUGAAUUCAUCUCCGGGGGUAGAGCACUGUUUCGGCAAGGGGGUCAUCCCGACUUACCAACCCGAUGCAAACUGCGAAUACCGGAGAAUGUUAUCACGGGAGACACACGGCGGGUGCUAACGUCCGUCGUGAAGAGGGAAACAACCCAGACCGCCAGCUAAGGUCCCAAAGUCAUGGUUAAGUGGGAAACGAUGUGGGAAGGCCCAGACAGCCAGGAUGUUGGCUUAGAAGCAGCCAUCAUUUAAAGAAAGCGUAAUAGCUCACUGGUCGAGUCGGCCUGCGCGGAAGAUGUAACGGGGCUAAACCAUGCACCGAAGCUGCGGCAGCGACGCUGAUGCGUUGUUGGGUAGGGGAGCGUUCUGUAAGCCUGUGAAGGUGUGCUGUGAGGCAUGCUGGAGGUAUCAGAAGUGCGAAUGCUGACAUAAGUAACGAUAAAGCGGGUGAAAAGCCCGCUCGCCGGAAGACCAAGGGUUCCUGUCCAACGUUAAUCGGGGCAGGGUGAGUCGACCCCUAAGGCGAGGCCGAAAGGCGUAGUCGAUGGGAAACAGGUUAAUAUUCCUGUACUUGGUGUUACUGCGAAGGGGGGACGGAGAAGGCUAUGUUGGCCGGGCGACGGUUGUCCCGGUUUAAGCGUGUAGGCUGGUUUUCCAGGCAAAUCCGGAAAACUAAGGCUGAGGCGUGAUGACGAGGCACUACGGUGCUGAAGCAACAAAUGCCCUGCUUCCAGGAAAAGCCUCUAAGCAUCAGGUAACAUCAAAUCGUACCCCAAACCGACACAGGUGGUCAGGUAGAGAAUACCAAGGCGCUUGAGAGAACUCGGGUGAAGGAACUAGGCAAAAUGGUGCCGUAACUUCGGGAGAAGGCACGCUGAUAUGUAGGUGAAGUCCCUCGCGGAUGGAGCUGAAAUCAGUCGAAGAUACCAGCUGGCUGCAACUGUUUAUUAAAAACACAGCACUGUGCAAACACGAAAGUGGACGUAUACGGUGUGACGCCUGCCCGGUGCCGGAAGGUUAAUUGAUGGGGUCAGCGCAAGCGAAGCUCUUGAUCGAAGCCCCGGUAAACGGCGGCCGUAACUAUAACGGUCCUAAGGUAGCGAAAUUCCUUGUCGGGUAAGUUCCGACCUGCACGAAUGGCGUAAUGAUGGCCAGGCUGUCUCCACCCGAGACUCAGUGAAAUUGAACUCGCUGUGAAGAUGCAGUGUACCCGCGGCAAGACGGAAAGACCCCGUGAACCUUUACUAUAGCUUGACACUGAACAUUGAGCCUUGAUGUGUAGGAUAGGUGGGAGGCUUUGAAGUGUGGACGCCAGUCUGCAUGGAGCCGACCUUGAAAUACCACCCUUUAAUGUUUGAUGUUCUAACGUUGACCCGUAAUCCGGGUUGCGGACAGUGUCUGGUGGGUAGUUUGACUGGGGCGGUCUCCUCCUAAAGAGUAACGGAGGAGCACGAAGGUUGGCUAAUCCUGGUCGGACAUCAGGAGGUUAGUGCAAUGGCAUAAGCCAGCUUGACUGCGAGCGUGACGGCGCGAGCAGGUGCGAAAGCAGGUCAUAGUGAUCCGGUGGUUCUGAAUGGAAGGGCCAUCGCUCAACGGAUAAAAGGUACUCCGGGGAUAACAGGCUGAUACCGCCCAAGAGUUCAUAUCGACGGCGGUGUUUGGCACCUCGAUGUCGGCUCAUCACAUCCUGGGGCUGAAGUAGGUCCCAAGGGUAUGGCUGUUCGCCAUUUAAAGUGGUACGCGAGCUGGGUUUAGAACGUCGUGAGACAGUUCGGUCCCUAUCUGCCGUGGGCGCUGGAGAACUGAGGGGGGCUGCUCCUAGUACGAGAGGACCGGAGUGGACGCAUCACUGGUGUUCGGGUUGUCAUGCCAAUGGCACUGCCCGGUAGCUAAAUGCGGAAGAGAUAAGUGCUGAAAGCAUCUAAGCACGAAACUUGCCCCGAGAUGAGUUCUCCCUGACUCCUUGAGAGUCCUGAAGGAACGUUGAAG